GUGCCAGCCGCCGCGGUAAUACGUAGGUGGCAAGCGUUGUCCGGAUUUAUUGGGCGUAAAGCGAGCGCAGGCGGUUUCUUAAGUCUGAUGUGAAAGCCUUCGGCUCAACCGAAGAAGUGCAUCGGAAACUGGGAAACUUGAGUGCAGAAGAGGACAGUGGAACUCCAUGUGUAGCGGUGAAAUGCGUAGAUAUAUGGAAGAACACCAGUGGCGAAGGCGGCUGUCUGGUCUGUAACUGACGCUGAGGCUCGAAAGCAUGGGUAGCAAACAGGAUUAGAUACCCUGGUAGUCCAUGCCGUAAACGAUGAGUGCUAGGUGUUGGAGGGUUUCCGCCCUUCAGUGCCGCAGCUAACGCAUUAAGCACUCCGCCUGGGGAGUACGACCGCAAGGUUGAAACUCAAAGGAAUUGACGGGGGCCCGCACAAGCGGUGGAGCAUGUGGUUUAAUUCGAAGCAACGCGAAGAACCUUACCAGGUCUUGACAUCCUUUGACCACUCUAGAGAUAGAGCUUUCCCUUCGGGGACAAAGUGGCAGGUGGUGCAUGGUUGUCGUCAGCUCGUGUCGUGAGAUGUUGGGUUAAGUCCCGCAACGAGCGCAACCCUUAUUACUAGUUGCCAGCAUUUAGUUGGGCACUCUAGUGAGACUGCCGGUGACAAACCGGAGGAAGGUGGGGACGACGUCAAAUCAUCAUGCCCCUUAUGACCUGGGCUACACACGUGCUACAAUGGAUGGUACAACGAGUUGCGAGACCGCGAGGUUUAGCUAAUCUCUUAAAACCAUUCUCAGUUCGGAUUGUAGGCUGCAACUCGCCUACAUGAAGCCGGAAUCGCUAGUAAUCGCGGAUCAGCAUGCCGCGGUGAAUACGUUCCCGGGCCUUGUACACACCGCCCGU
rnacentral:rRNA from 1 species